rnacentral:rRNA from 1 species
AUUGAACGCUGGCGGUAUGCCUAACACAUGCAAGUCGAACGGCAGCACAGUAAGAGCUUGCUCUUACGGGUGGCGAGUGGCGGACGGUUGAGGAAUACAUCGGAAUCUACUUUUUCGUGGGGGAUAACGUAGGGAAACUUACGCUAAUACCGCAUACGACCUACGGGUGAAAGCAGGGGAUCUUCGGACCUUGCGCGAUUGAAUGAGCCGAUGUCGGAUUAGCUAGUUGGCGGGGUAAAGGCCCACCAAGGCGACGAUCCGUAGCUGGUCUGAGAGGAUGAUCAGCCACACUGGAACUGAGACACGGUCCAGACUCCUACGGGAGGCAGCAGUGGGGAAUAUUGGACAAUGGGCGCAAGCCUGAUCCAGCCAUACCGCGUGGGUGAAGAAGGCCUUCGGGUUGUAAAGCCCUUUUGUUGGGAAAGAAAAGCAGCAGGUUAAUACCCCGCUGUUCUGACGGUACCCAAAGAAUAAGCACCGGCUAACUUCGUG